UUUUACUUUAUUCGUGUAUUAUUCAGGGAAAUUUGCUUAAUUAUUUAUAGAAUAAAUGCGCAAGACUUUCUAAGCUAUAACAUGUCAUAAAAAAUUGUGUAAAAUAUGUGAUUUAUAAUCUGGCUCAGAAAGAUUCAGGACCCUCGCCUACGACUUUAUUGCAACAUCUGAAAAACGAAUACCAAAGACUGUUUAAACCAUAACUACAACGCAAAACAAAACUUUUAAUAAAAUACUAAUUAUGUUAA